rnacentral:lncRNA from 1 species
GGCAGUGGCUCGAUUCUGCAUCAACACCCCAGCCACAGGCUGACUGCGGGAUGGGACAGGGCAGCAUUCAUUACUCGCCAUGAAGGCGCUUCGGACUCAAGGCUCCGUCAGCUGCAGUCCCGGCCCUGAAGGGACCUCCUCCUACGUCCCAGUUGGUUCAGUCAAGUCCCCGUUGUACAAGACAGUCCCCAGGAAGGACCAGGACAUAUUUCUGCCCCAGGAGUAGAGGCUUACUGGAGAAGGCUUUGAGCCGGGUUCCAUUCCAGCGGAGGCUGGGGGGUGGGGGCCCAGAGCACGGGGGUCAGGCGGCCAAAGUGAGCACUGGCCAGUGUCAGGCCAUAGCACGGGAGCAUUUUGGGCCAGCCUCAUGGGGGCAGGGAGCCACGGCGCACGGCCCGGAGGCGGCCCCAGCCGGUUCCCGCCAGGUGACAGGACUGCUUUGGCGAGCACUCCCUGCCCCGGAGGACACCCACCUUGGGAGGACCAGAUGCAGCAGACACGGGGAAGGAAUGAGUGCUGGAGGUGACAAGCGUGGCUGAUGGGCGAGGGAGGGCGGGUGGAGGCCAGGGCACAGAGUGGGUGAGGGCACGGCCAGCCCGAGAAGGCCACGGUCAGCAAGGGCCCUGCGGUGGGGACCCUGGACACGGUAGGGCUCCGUGUCUGAGCGCUUGACCCACUGGCCUCCAGCACCCCGCCCCCACCUCAAGCAGGCGGGCCUCGGCCUUGGGGUCCCUCUGCUGUGCCCCGGCCCGGAGCAGGCGUGUGCAGGGUCCCUGGCCCCACACCUCGGCUCUGGCAUUGGUCCAGCCCACUUCACAGCACCCUUGGCAGAGCUGGAGUGUCACCUUCCUGGAGCACGAUGGGACCAGGUCCUGGCCCUGCAUAGCCCCCUGCCGUUCUACUGCUCCCCUUCCUACCUCAGGCAGCCCCUGGGGAGGUGGGCUCUGGGAGUGACAGGCAGGUUGGCAGAGGGGUAGGGGCUGCUUCCCAGGCCGUGGACCGGAAGGGAGGGGGAGAUCUGGAGGCCCAACAGCG